rnacentral:rRNA from 1 species
GAGUUUGAUCAUGGCUCAGGAUGAACGCUGGCGGCGUGCCUAACACAUGCAAGUCGAACGGAUCCAUAUUGAAACCUAGUGAUGUAUGGAUUAGUGGCGGACGGGUGAGUAACGCGUGGAUAACCUGCCGUAUACAGGGGGAGUAACACUUAGAAAUAGGUGCUAAUACCGCAUAAGCGCACGGUUCCGCAUGGAACAGUGUGAAAAACUACCGGUGGUAUACGAUGGAUCCGCGUCUGAUUAGCCAGUUGGCGGGGUAACGGGCCCACCAAAGCGACGAUCAGUAGCCGGCCUGAGAGGGUGAACGGCCACAUUGGGACUGAGACACGGCCCAAACUCCUACGGGAGGCAGCAGUGGGGAAUAUUGCACAAUGGGGGGAAACCCUGAUGCAGCGACGCCGCGUGAGUGAAGAAGUAUUUCGGUACGUAAAGCUCUAUCAGCAGGGAAGAAAAAAAGUCCUUUGGACUUUGGACGGUACCUGACUAAGAAGCCCCGGCUAACUACGUGCCAGCAG